rnacentral:tRNA from 4 species
AGCCCUGAGGUGUUUUACAUAUUAGAUUGCAAAUCUAAAGAAGCAAGUUAAACGCUUGCCGGGGCUU